rnacentral:tRNA from 1 species
GGGGCUAUAGCUCAGUGGUAGAGCGCUUGCCUCGCACGCGUGAUGCACUGGGUUCAAUCCUCAGCACCA